AGGCUGCCCACCUGUGAGUGAUUUUGGACGGGGGAGGGGCUCACCGCAGCCCCCGCUGCUCGUUGAGCUCAGUAACUGCAGAGUGAUAACGCGCUUUCACGUCAAAGUCUCCAAUAACACCAGAAAAAGUCGCUACAUUUGUCGCUUGUCGCUUUUGACAAAAAAAAGGUCGCCAGGAGGAUUUAAGUUAGAAAGUCAGCAGACUGGUAACACUGCCAUGGCGCCCUCGUUGGCCUUCAACUCUCUACUCCCCAGACCUUUCCCUUCCCACUACCAUCGGCUCCAUCUCGGCCACCACAGCAGCCAGUGCCCAGGCCACGGUGCCGGGUGGCUGGCAGGUUCUUGUACACGGCUCGGCUGUACGGGAUGAAGCACAGGCCCAGCUGGAGGUGUCGAGCGAGGCGGCAGUAUGCCGCCAGCGCCAAGACGAGUAGAGGGGUGACCAAGAGGAAGCCCACCACCAGCAGAGCCACACAGCCUCCAUCAGUCAGCAGGUCUGAACAGUAGGGGGUCGUCCCAUGAGGGCGGACCUGGAAAGAGGAGAAAGGCAUCAGUUGGAAUGAUGUGGCGGAAGGAUGUCGUAGAAGUCCUGGUUAAUCCCUCUCUAAGCUGCUGUCACAUGAGGUCUAAUUGUGAGAGAGCAGGAGAACAGAGGGAAUCCUGGUCUCUCUGGUCAUUAAGGAGGUCAUCGGCACACAGAAAUGCCAUCGAGUGGCAGAGGAAGCCAAACACCACCAUGACAAUGGCUGGCGUCAGGAUGCUCCCGAACACCAGUCCAGCGAGGCAGGCAUUGAUCGUGGCAAUAAUCAGGUUCUGAGCCGUUACCAGCACAGAGCAGGCCCAGCAGUCCAGGG